rnacentral:rRNA from 1 species
UACGUAUGGAGCAAGCGUUGUCCGGAUUUACUGGGCGUAAAGGGCACGCAGGCGGUGAGAUAAGUCAGGUGUGAAAGUUUUCGGCUCAACCGGAAAAGUGCACUUGAAACUGUCCCACUUGAGUAUCGGAGAGGUAAGCGGAAUUCCUAGUGUAGCGGUGAAAUGCGUAGAGAUUAGGAAGAACACCGGUGGCGAAGGCGGCUUACUGGACGAUUACUGACGCUCAUGUGCGAAAGCGUGGGGAGCAAAC